CCCAUGAACACUGCAUGAUGAUAUUAUCACUUCAACUCUCCUUGUUAAAACUUUGCCAUUCAUUUCUGCUCCAUGAUCAUUUACCAAUAUAUGCUCAAUGUAAUCUUGUAGGAUUUGUUGUUCUAACCUGGCUUCUGUGGGUUCAACUCUGAAUGGAACAGGAUGUUUUCAGUGUCAGCCUGGUUAGAUGUAAUAUAUCAUCAGAUGCAUUUCAGGUGUCACAUCCUCCAGGGGUCCUUCCUUGAUCCACAGUGGGAAGCCAUCUCUCCUCCAUCUGUGCAUCCCCAGACUUCAAUUGUACUUCUCACUGCCUGGCAUCUCUGGCAAUUGUGUAGGUUCAUUUCUUCUUUUAAAUUUGUAAAAGUUUGAGAGCCAAGCACAUGCUUUUUAAGUCUCUGUAUCCCCAGUAAAGUGUCUAGCCUAUAUGUAGUAUGUUCUCAAUAAAAACUUGUGUGGAAUUUAAAUAAGGUUUGUAGGGUUUUUUGUUUGUUGUUUGUUUAACUCUCUUCCUUCCUGACACCUGUGUUGUACUUAAGACAUUUGAGUCUUGUUUGGCCAGGAGACUUUGUGCUUUCUUAGUUCUACAUUCUUUUCUGAGUCUCUG
rnacentral:lncRNA from 1 species